GACGAACGCUGGCGGCGUGCUUAACACAUGCAAGUCGAACGGAAAGGCCCUGCUUUUGUGGGGUGCUCGAGUGGCGAACGGGUGAGUAACACGUGAGUAACCUGCCCUUGACUUUGGGAUAACUUCAGGAAACUGGGGCUAAUACCGGAUAGGAGCUCCUGCUGCAUGGUGGGGGUUGGAAAGUUUCGGCGGUUGGGGAUGGACUCGCGGCUUAUCAGCUUGUUGGUGGGGUAGUGGCUUACCAAGGCUUUGACGGGUAGCCGGCCUGAGAGGGUGACCGGCCACAUUGGGACUGGGAUACGGCCCAGACUCCUACGGGAGGCAGCAGUGGGGAAUAUUGCACAAUGGGCGGAAGCCUGAUGCAGCAACGCCGCGUGCGGGAGGACGGCCUUCGGGUGGUAAACCGCUUUCGCCUGUGACGAAGCGUGAGUGACGGAAAUGGGUAAAGAAGCACCGGCUAACUACGG
rnacentral:rRNA from 1 species